AUUGAACGCUGGCGGCAGGCCUAACACAUGCAAGUCGAGCGAGCGGCGGACGGGUGAGUAAUGUAUGGGGACUGCCCGAUAGAGGGGGAUAACUACUGGAAACGGUGGCUAAUACCGCAUACUGUCGGAUAACCCAUAUGGGAUUAGCUAGUAGGUAAGGUAAUGGCUUACCUAGGCGACGAUCCCUAGCUGGUCUGAGAGGAUGAUCAGCCAAACUGAGACUGAGACACGGGGCAGAAACCGACGGAGGGAGCAGUGGGGAAUAUUUGACAAUGGGCGCGAGCCUGAUGCAGCCAUGCCGCGAUUUUGAUAAAGGCCGUAGGGUUGUGAAGUAUUUACAGUCGGGAGGCGUUACCGACAGAAGAAGCACCGGCUUACUCCGUGCCAGCAGCCGCGGUAAUAC
rnacentral:rRNA from 1 species